AUGGACAGAGAGAGAUUGGCCUGCUUCUUCUCUUUCUCUUUAUUUUUCUUCUCUUCUUUUUCUUUUUCUUUUUCUUUUUCCUU
rnacentral:ribozyme from 12 species